CCUACGGGGGGCUGCAGUGGGGAAUAUUGGACAAUGGGGGCAACCCUGAUCCAGCCAUGCCGCGUGUGUGAAGAAGGCCCUCGGGUUGUAAAGCACUUUCAGUGAGGAAGAACGCCUGGUGGUUAAUACCCAUCAGGAAAGACAUCACUCACAGAAGAAGCACCGGCUAACUCCGUGCCAGCAGCCGCGGUAAUACGGAGGGUGCGAGCGUUAAUCGGAAUUACUGGGCGUAAAGCGCGCGUAGGUGGCUUGAUAAGCCGGUUGUGAAAGCCCCGGGCUCAACCUGGGAACGGCAUCCGGAACUGUCAAGCUAGAGUGCAGGAGAGGAAGGUAGAAUUCCCGGUGUAGCGGUGAAAUGCGUAGAGAUCGGGAGGAAUACCAGUGGCGAAGGCGGCCUUCUGGACUGACACUGACACUGAGGUGCGAAAGCGUGGGUAGCAAACAGGAUUAGAUACCCCCGUAGUC
rnacentral:rRNA from 1 species